GGUAAAGCUAUGACGGGCAGGAGUACUCUUACCAUUGGUAUCCCAGAGAGGAGGCUAAAUGCUGAAAGGCCUCUAUACCGGGUCAGGGGAAGCAGGCUCUGAGUUUUUAUGCCGAAAAGACGAAAGUAGGUAUAAACGUGGUGGCACGUUACAGCCAACAGAGGGACCGGCCGCAGCCGGUAACCAGGGUGGUACCGCGAAACAGACCUUUCGUCCCUGGA
rnacentral:ncRNA from 1 species